UACGUAGGGUGCGAGCGUUGUCCGGAAUUACUGGGCGUAAAGAGCUCGUAGGUGGUUUGUCGCGUUGUUCGUGAAAACUCACAGCUUAACUGUGGGCGUGCGGGCGAUACGGGCAGACUGGAGUACUGCAGGGGAGACUGGAAUUCCUGGUGUAGCGGUGGAAUGCGCAGAUAUCAGGAGGAACACCGGUGGCGAAGGCGGGUCUCUGGGCAGUAACUGACGCUGAGGCGCGACAGCGUGGGGAGCAAACAGG
rnacentral:rRNA from 1 species